rnacentral:tRNA from 1 species
GGCGAUGUAGCUCAGUGGUAGAGCGUUCGCUUCGCAUGCGAAAGGCCCCGGGUUCAAUUCCCGGUAUCUCCA